UACAGAGGUCUCAAGCGUUGUUCGGAUUUAUUGGGCGUAAAGGGCGCGUAGGCGGCGCGGUAAGUCGGGUGUGAAAUCUCGGAGCUUAACUCCGAAACUGCAUUCGAUACUGCCGUGCUUGAGGACUGGAGAGGAGACUGGAAUUUACGGUGUAGCAGUGAAAUGCGUAGAGAUCGUAAGGAAGACCAGAGGCGAAGGCGGGUCUCUGGACAGUUCCUGACACUGAGGCACGAAGGCCAGGGGAGCAAACGGG
rnacentral:rRNA from 1 species